rnacentral:rRNA from 1 species
UACAGAGGUCCCGAGCGUUGUUCGGAUUCACUGGGCGUAAAGGGUGCGUAGGCGGUCGGGUAAGUCUGAUGUGAAAUCUCACAGCUUAACUGUGAAACUGCAUUGGAUACUAUUCGGCUUGAGGUCUGGAGGGGGGACUGGAAUACUUGGUGUAGCAGUGAAAUGCGUAGAUAUCAAGUGGAACACCAGUGGCGAAGGCGAGUCUCUGGACAUUUCCUGACGCUGAGGCACGAAAGCCAGGGGAGCAAACGGG